UACAGAGGGGGCAAGCGUUAUUCGGAAUUAUUGGGCGUAAAGGGCGCGUAGGCGGCUUUUCAAGUGACGGGUGAAAUCCCUCGGCUUAACCGAGGAACUGCCUGUCAGACUGGGAGGCUUGAGACCGGGAGAGGUGAGUGGAAUUCCCAGUGUAGCGGUGAAAUGCGUAGAUAUUGGGAGGAACACCAGUGGCGAAGGCGGCUCACUGGACCGGAACUGACGCUGAGGCGCGAAAGCGUGGGGAGCAAACAGG
rnacentral:rRNA from 1 species